UAGAGUUUGAUCCUGGCUCAGGAUGAACGCUGGCGGUAUGCUUAACACAUGCAAGUCGAACGGAAUCCUUAGGGAUUUAGUGGCGGACGGGUGAGUAACGCGUGAGAAUCUGGCUUCAGGUCGGGGACAGCAGUUGGAAACGACUGCUAAUACCGGAUAUGCCGAGAGGUGAAAGAUUAAUUGCCUGGAGAUGAGCUCGCGUCUGAUUAGCUAGUUGGUGGGGUAAGAGCCUACCAAGGCGACGAUCAGUAGCUGGUCUGAGAGGAUGAUCAGCCACACUGGGACUGAGACACGGCCCAGACUCCUACGGGAGGCAGCAGUGGGGAAUUUUCCGCAAUGGGCGAAAGCCUGACGGAGCAAUACCGCGUGAGGGAGGAAGGCUCUUGGGUCGUAAACCUCUUUUCUCAGGGAAGAAAAAAAUGACGGUACCUGAGGAAUAAGCAUCGGCUAACUCCGUGCCAGCAGCCGCGGUAAUACGGAGGAUGCAAGCGUUAUCCGGAAUGAUUGGGCGUAAAGCGUCCGCAGGUGGCCAUGUAAGUCUGCUGUUAAAGAGUCAUGCUCAACAUGAUAAAAGCAGUGGAAACUACACGGCUAGAGUACGUUCGGGGCAGAGGGAAUUCCUGGUGUAGCGGUGAAAUGCGUAGAUAUCAGGAAGAACACCGGUGGCGAAAGCGCUCUGCUAGGCCGUAACUGACACUGAGGGACGAAAGCUAGGGGAGCGAAUGGGAUUAGAUACCCCAGUAGUCCUAGCCGUAAACGAUGGAUACUAGGCGUGGCUUGUAUCGACCCGAGCCGUGCCGUAGCUAACGCGUUAAGUAUCCCGCCUGGGGAGUACGCACGCAAGUGUGAAACUCAAAGGAAUUGACGGGGGCCCGCACAAGCGGUGGAGUAUGUGGUUUAAUUCGAUGCAACGCGAAGAACCUUACCAAGACUUGACAUGUCGCGAAUCUUUCUGAAAGGAGAGAGUGCCUUCGGGAGCGCGAACACAGGUGGUGCAUGGCUGUCGUCAGCUCGUGUCGUGAGAUGUUGGGUUAAGUCCCGCAACGAGCGCAACCCUCGUUUUUAGUUGCCAGCAUUAAGUUGGGCACUCUAGAGAGACUGCCGGUGACAAACCGGAGGAAGGUGAGGAUGACGUCAAGUCAGCAUGCCCCUUACGUCUUGGGCUACACACGUACUACAAUGCUACGGACAAAGGGCAGCUACACAGCGAUGUGAUGCUAAUCUCAUAAACCGUAGCUCAGUUCAGAUCGCAGGCUGCAACUCGCCUGCGUGAAGGAGGAAUCGCUAGUAAUUGCAGGUCAGCAUACUGCAGUGAAUUCGUUCCCGGGCCUUGUACACACCGCCCGUCACACCAUGGAAGUUGGUCACGCCCGAAGUCAUUACCCCAACCGAAAGGAGGGGGAUGCCUAAGGUAGGACUGGUGACUGGGGUGAAGUCGUAACAAGGUAGCCGUACCGGAAGGUGUGGCUGGAUCACCUCCUUUUUAGGGAGACCUAAUCCAUUGAGAAAUCGAACACAAUCAGUAAUUAGAUUCUUAAUUGGUCUAUCCUAGGUCGGUCGAGAUUGGUUGAAAACUUUCAAAGUAUUAUUAUUGGUUUGGUGAAACUAAAUUAAAUUGGAAAAGAGUCAGCAACUGAUGAAGAGUCAGACUGCUGGUUUAGAGCCAGUCAGAACCUUGAAAACUGCAUAGUAACGCGAAUUAGCAGGCAGACGAAACUGAGUGCUGAGGGAAGAAUACCGAGUAAUGAGUUUUUCACUUAUUGCAGAGUAGGAAAGAAUCAGAAAAGCAGAAAAGUUUGCAAGUCGAAUCAGAUGUAAUGAAGUGGUCAAGCUAAUAAGGGCUAAUGGUGGAUACCUAGGCACACAGAGGCGAAGA
rnacentral:rRNA from 1 species